GUCAGGAGUGGUGGUGUACACCUGUAAUCCCAACUACCUGUGAGACCGAGGCAGGAGGAUGGCAAGUUCAAGGUCAGCCUGGGGACCUUAUCAAGACCCUGUCUCAG
rnacentral:sRNA from 1 species